ensembl:lncRNA
GUACUACUGGCGAGAUUCUGAAGUGUGCAUUUGAUAGACACUUUACUAUACCAUGAGGAAGGUAACAUUACAAAGUCAACAUGCCAAAUGUAGUACAUCCAGAUGUAAUUCUUACUGCUACUGUACUUACUCAGCAUGCAAUUUUGGAUGCACCUAAGGACUCAAAUUGACGAAUCACAUCAGAUUAUAGUGCUAUAAAUGCUAAGGUCUUGGGUUCGAUAUCCAGAGAAUAAAUGAAAUGCUAAAAACGUAUGCCUUGAAUACAGUGUAAGUCGCUUUGGAUAAAAAUAAGGGGGGGGGGGGGCUUUUAAUUUACAUAAACCAUUUGAAUAAACUGAUUUACUAGAAUGAAUUUGGCUUUUCAAUGCUUCAUAUAAGAGAGUGUAAGAAUGGACCAUUGAAGUAAGUGCAUUUGAUUAUUCCCUCAGAUGCUCAAAAACAUUAGCAUUAGAAUUUGAUUGUGCUACACUGCUGGAUAAAGUAGUACUGAAAAAGUUAGACUUGUGAAAAUAGCUGAACUACUGUAACUGCUGAAAAAUUUAGUACUUUUAGUUAGCAAGCAGUAGCGGCAACUUAUUUCUGAGUAAACUAUCCUUCUGAAGCCAGCAUGAAAAUUUAAAGCCUUCAGUUUAAUUGCAUAUGCUUUGCCAUUCACAAUGAGAACCUAUAUGGAUACUGUAAUAUGUAAAUACUUUGAACACAACUAAUGUGUUUUUUCACAGUAAUUUCGCUGAAUACAUUCCCCAUGAAGACUGUGAAUGGAAACAGUGCCCUGCUUCCACAUGACUUGGCUGCAGCUGGUGAACCUUUUAAUCAAUGCUUGGAACAUAAAACACCUCAAAGCGUCGUCCUCCUGCACUGCCAAGGCCAACGAGAAAGAGACUGCCUGACAGUAUGACAAGAAGAUGCACCGCACUGAGGGUGGAGGUCUUCACGUACAUGCUUACUAAUGAGAUGGUUCUCUCCAUCUCUCUUGUGUCCUUCCCUCUUAAACCCCUCCAGGCUGGGUUUUAAUCUUUUGUAAAGGAAUCUUGGCAUCAGUCCUACCUCUGUAGUAUAGACUGUUGGGUCUGUGGAGUUUCUGGAAUUGGGUGUGUGAAAUAUUUCAAUGUCGUAAACAGAUAACACUCCUAUCCCUAGAUUAGUUAACUAAUUAGUUUUGCUGGUUUCAUUUAACACCCCAAAUUUGUGGGGAAUUAAACACAGUACCAGUAUUGUUUAUCACACACAAGUAAACAAAAAUGUCCUCAAAUGAAAUGGUGAAAUAUACUGUAUGUAUAUGUAUGUUAUAGACUAGGGUUGUAACGGCAUGAUUUUCACGGUCUGAUAACAGUCUCAGAAAAUACUAGUUUCACAGUAUACUAUAUCAGUGGCUCUCAAUUCCAGUCCUCGAGAUCCCGCGCUCUGCGUACUAUAUAAUACACUGUGAUUUUAUAUUAAUUCAUUUGUAAAUACUCCAGAUACAUUUUUCUUGGUGGAAAAAAUCAACUAUGCUGCCUGUCAACUAUAACUCAUUCAGCCUAUAAUAUUCACACUCAAAUAAAAAUGCUGUAUGGCUUACA